CCUACGGGAGGCAGCAGUGGGGAAUAUUGCACAAUGGGGGAAACCCUGAUGCAGCGACGCCGCGUGAGUGAAGAAGUAUUUCGGUAUGUAAAGCUCUGUCAGCAGGGAAGAAAAUGACGGUACCUGACCAAGAAGCCCCGGCUAACUACGUGCCAGCAGCCGCGGUAAUACGUAGGGGGCCAGCGUUAUCCGGAUUUACUGGGUGUAAAGGGAGCGUAGACGGGAGGGCAAGUCUGGAGUGAAAGGGGGGGGCUCAACCCCCGGACUGCUGUGGAAACUGCCAGGCUGGAGUGCAGGAGAGGUAAGUGGAAUGCCUGGUGUAGCGGUGAAAUGCGUAGAUAUUAGGAGGAACACCAGUGGCGAAGGCGGCUUACUGGACUGUAACUGACGUUGAGGCUCGAAAGCGUGGGGAGCAAACAGGAUUAGAUACCCUUGUAGUC
rnacentral:rRNA from 1 species